rnacentral:rRNA from 1 species
UGUGUAGGCGGUUCUUUAAGUUUGGUGUGAAAUCUCCCGGCUCAACUGGGAGGGAGCGCCGAAUACUGAGGGACUAGAGUACGGGAGAGGAAAGUGGAAUUCCUGGUGUAGCGGUGAAAUGCGUAGAUAUCAGGAGGAACACCGGUGGUGUAGACGGCUUUCUGGACCGUAACUGACGCUGAUACACGAAAGCGUGGGUAGCAAACAGGAUUAGAUACCCUGGUAGUCCACGCCCUAAACGAUGCAUAUUUGGUGUGGGCAGUUCAUUCUGUCCGUGCCGGAGCUAACGCGUUAAAUAUGCCACCUGGGGAGUACAGUCGCAAGGCUGAA